rnacentral:rRNA from 1 species
UGGGGAAUAUUGGACAAUGGGGGCAACCCUGAUCCAGCAAUGCCGCGUGUGUGAAGAAGGUCUUCGGAUUGUAAAGCACUUUCGACGGGGACGAUGAUGACGGUACCCGUAGAAGAAGCCCCGGCUAACUUCGUGCCAGCAGCCGCGGUAAUACGAAGGGGGCUAGCGUUGCUCGGAAUGACUGGGCGUAAAGGGCGUGUAGGCGGUUUACACAGUCAGAUGUGAAAUCCCCGGGCUUAACCUGGGAGCUGCAUUUGAUACGUGUAGACUAGAGUGUGAGAGAGGGUUGUGGAAUUCCCAGUGUAGAGGUGAAAUUCGUAGAUAUUGGGAAGAACACCGGUGGCGAAGGCGGCAACCUGGCUCAUGACUGACGCUGAGGCGCGAAAGCGUGGGGAGCAAACAGGUUAGAUACCCUGGUAGUCCACGCUGUAAACGAUGUGUGCUAGAUGUUGGGUAACUUUGU